rnacentral:rRNA from 1 species
AUUGAACGCUGGCGGCAGGCUUAACACAUGCAAGUCGAGCGGCAGCGGGAAAGUAGCUUGCUACUUUUGCCGGCGAGCGGCGGACGGGUGAGUAAUGCCUGGGGAUCUGCCCAGUCGAGGGGGAUAACUACUGGAAACGGUAGCUAAUACCGCAUACGCCCUACGGGGGAAAGCAGGGGACCUUCGGGCCUUGCCGGAUUGGAUGAACCCAGGUGGGAUUAGCUAGUUGGUGAGGUAAUGGCUCACCAAGGGGACGAACCCUAGCUGGUCUGAGAGGAUGAUCAGCCACACUGGAACUGAGACACGGUCCAGACUCCUACGGGAGGCAGCAGUGGGGAAUAUUGCACAAUGGGGGAAACCCUGAUGCAGCCAUGCCGCGUGUGUGAAGAAGGCCUUCGGGUUGUAAAGCACUUUCAGCGAGGAGGAAAGGUUGGUAGCUAAUAACUGCCAGCUGUGACGUUACUCGCAGAAGAAGCACCGGCUAACUCCGUGCCAGCCGCCGCAGUAAGAC